rnacentral:pre_miRNA from 1 species
ACUAUACUCCCUCCGUCCGAAAAUACUUGUCAUCAAAAUGGAUAAAAAGGGAUGUAUCUAAAACUAAAAUACAUCUAGAUACAUCCCUUUUAUCCAUUUUGAUGACAAGUAUUUCCGGACGGAGGGAGUAUAUA